GAGUUUGAUUAUGGCUCAGGAUGAACGCUAGCGGCAGGCCUAACACAUGCAAGUCGAGGGGUAGGGUGCUUCGGCACUUGAGACCGGCGCACGGGUGCGUAACACGUGUACAAUCUACCUUUUGCUAAGGGAUAGCCCGAAGAAAUUUGGAUUAAUACCUUAUAGUAUUGUUUGGUGGCAUCACUAAAUAAUUAAAGCUCUGGUGGCAAAAGAUGAGUACGCGUUCCAUUAGCUAGUUGGUGUGGUAACGGCAUACCAAGGCUACGAUGGGUAGGGGUCCUGAGAGGGAGGUCCCCCACACUGGUACUGAGACACGGACCAGACUCCUACGGGAGGCAGCAGUGAGGAAUAUUGGACAAUGGUCGGAAGACUGAUCCAGCCAUGCCGCGUGCAGGAUGACGGCCUUAUGGGUUGUAAACUGCUUUUAUACAGGAAGAAUAAGGUCUACGUGUAGAUUGAUGACCGGUACUGUAUGAAUAAGCAUCGGCA
rnacentral:rRNA from 1 species